UAGGACAUGAUGGAGAAGUAAAAACCUGAAACGUCAUCUCCUCCCUAUCUCCCAUAGGGAGGAGAUGACGUUUCAGGUUUUUACUUCUCCAUCAUGUCCUA